UAGUAUAUGUAAGAUAUAAUAUCUCUACGAAAUCCUCGGAAUAAGGAAGUAAGCGCGUUAUCGUCAACUUCUUUUAUACAGAAAGAUUAAUGUCUUAAUGCAUAUUUUUAACGAUUGCUGAUCAUGGAUGACAAGUCAGCGUCAACUUUCAAUCAAACAUGAUAACAAUGAUAUAAUCAAAGACGAAAAAUCCAUCCAUUAUAAUUCGACAGCAUAUGUGAAUAAUGGUCCACGGUCUGUACAAGCGUGAAGAUAUCAUAACAUACAGAACUCUACAGGAUUCUCAGUUUACGCAAAAUUAAGAUUUUCCAAUCUUCAGGGAAGUUUCUGAAAAACAUCAGUCUGACUUGCGCGAUUACAUCAGUAAUGGGAACUCCCGCUCGAAAUUACGAAA